CAAAUUUCAACAACCGAUUUUUUGGCUUUUGCCUCGAUGAAGAACGCAGCGAAAUUCGAUAAGUAAUGGGAAUUGCCGAAUUCCGGGAAUCCUUGAAUUUUUGAACGCCCCCUGCGGUCCUUGGUUUUUCGAGGAGCCAGCCUGUUUGAGGGUCCUUA
rnacentral:rRNA from 1 species